GACGAACCGUGCGAACGUUGUUCGGAAUCGCUGGGCUUAAAGGGCGCGUAGGCGGCCCGCCAAGUCAGGGGUGAAAGCCCCCAGCUUAACUGGGGAAGGGCCUCUGAUACUGGCGGGCUCGAGGGGGAUAGGGGCGGACGGAACUUCCGGUGGAGCGGUGAAAUGCGUUGAUAUCGGAAGGAACGCCGGUGGCGAAAGCGGUCCGCUGGGUCCCCUCUGACGCUGAGGCGCGAAAGCCAGGGGAGCAAACGGG
rnacentral:rRNA from 1 species